AGCCAUUCUAAAUACAGCUGAAUGCUUCAAGUAAAUAAGGUUCUAUUUUCAGCCCAGGCAGCUGAAAACACCUUGGAGGUCCUCUGAAAGCAAGAGGUUUGUUCCACCAUGCAGGAGACAUCUCUUCCACUCUUCACACUAACAUUGCUCUACAAAAUCCUCAUUCCAAUGCUGGUGACAAUGUGGUGUUUCUCUUGCUCCUCCCACAGGGGCUGGCAUUUUGUAGGAGUAUGUCCUUGUUCAUAACCCAUUUUCUUCCUCUCAUAAUAAUAACAAAAUCUGUUAUUUUCCCACUUCCUCCAUUUUUGUAGCCAAGAUCCUGCCAUGUCACCUGUUCCCUGUCUGAGUCCCAGCAGUAAGUAACAUAUAUAAUUAGCUGGCAGUGAGAACUCCUCAUCCUCGCCUAAUACCCUGUCCUCACUUGAGAACGGCAGAUGCACACCCUUCCAACAACUGUAUCUGUGGCUGCUCCUGCCUUUGACAGCUGCUCCUGGAUAUCAAAUGGAAGUGUAGGACAGAUGUUUCUAAUCCCUUCCUGGCUGUCAUUGUGCUCUAGGAGAAAUCUGGAUUUGGCACAGUGCUUGGAUGCUUCAACACUUACCUGGGCCAAAAGUGGAAUCAGUCUGCAGAUAUCUCCCAUGUCAUCAUCACAGGAGUUUUAUGCAGCACAGCAAGUCUUCUAUAGUCUUAUCACUAGUACUGUCUAAUUCACUGUCAGUUCUUUUCCUAGGACAAAACAAUAGGAGAGAAGUUAAAGGAAAGAAGGAUUCCAGGAUGUUCUCUUUUCGUGUAUCAUCUAUGUAAAAGCAUCAGGAAGGGAUUAAAUGACUGCUAUCAACAAAGACAUGUUUGCAAUGGAACACUGCAGCUCCACAUGCCCUCCUACUCCAGUCAGAGGACAAAAUGCCCACUCCUGGCUCCUAGAUCAUAAACAUGUAAUGCUUCUUGCCACUAAUUCCCCAGCUGAUGAAGCUCUCUGACUUAGCUGGAUACCACACUGUUCCUCACAGCCUUGGCUAUCCACCCGCCUUAUGCUCUACGACUUUUAUGGCAGCUCUUCAAUGCAAAAUGCCAAGGUGAGGAGCUGUGAUUUACUUCCCUUAAGUUAAGGCAUGUUCAAAGGUCAGCGAUUCUUCACAUUCCUCUACAGACUUGUAGCAAGUGCUCAAGGCGCUCCUAGCUGACAAGAAUUAUGUUAUACCAUGAUCUUCACGGUCAGACACUGGGGCCUACAGGGACAUGGAGUUGAAGCAAAAAGGCUGAGCCAUGGGACCAGGGACAGUGGCUGCAAAGGAGAAGGCUUCAGCAAAGGACAAGCAUCCUCUGAUUCUCAUACAUGCUGCAACCAGGGGGCUGCAAAAUUCAGGGGCUGGCACAGCUUUUCACAGGAGGAACAAGCAUAGCCACCCAAGUGACACUGCAUGGAGCAGUCUCUUCCACUCCCCUAUCAGUAGUGUCAGUGGCCUACAAGGGCUUUUAGUUCUGCUCUUCACAUAGG
ensembl:lncRNA